UCGGAUGAUAAACCAACACAUUCGUAAUGAAACCAUUCUAAACAAUUGUGACAUUGCACUGUACCAUCUGAAAUAGCAAACGGUUGUCGACACAAGCAAAUAACAGAUGCAUUUUGAUCCGAAACGAGAUGUGAAGAAUUGAGGCCACCGAGGGUAGAAGUAGAAUCCACAGAUAACUCUUUAAUUUCGGGGGAAAUGUUUGUAAAGAGCUCAGCAGGAUUACUAGUCGGAAGUAAAUCGUGAGCUGAAGGCAUGGGAUUAGGACUGAUGGCAGCCUGAGCCAAACUUUUCAUAGCCCAUGGAGAUAAAGU